rnacentral:rRNA from 1 species
GAUGAACGCUGGCGGCGUGCCUAAUACAUGCAAGUCGAGCGAACAGAUAAGGAGCUUCCUCCUUUGACGUUAGCGGCGGACGGGUGAGUAACACGUGGAUAACCUACCUAUAAGACUGGGAUAACUUCGGGAAACCGGAGCUAAUACCGGAUAACAUAUUGAACCGCAUGGUUCAAUAGUGAAAGGCGGCUUUGCUGUCACUUAUAGAUGGAUCCGCGCCGUAUUAGCUAGUUGGUAAGGUAACGGCUUACCAAGGCAACGAUACGUAGCCGACCUGAGAGGGUGAUCGGCCACACUGGAACUGAGACACGGUCCAGACUCCUACGGGAGGCAGCAGUAGGGAAUCUUCCGCAAUGGGCGAAAGCCUGACGGAGCAACGCCGCGUGAGUGAUGAAGGUCUUCGGAUCGUAAAACUCUGUUAUCAGGGAAGAACAAAUGUGUAAGUAACUGUGCACAUCUUGACGGUACCUGAUCAGAAAGCCACGGCUAACUACGUG